rnacentral:rRNA from 1 species
UACGUAGGGUGCGAGCGUUAAUCGGAAUUAUUGGGCGUAAAGGGUGCGUAGGCGGUUUUGUAAGUCUUGUGUGAAAUCUUCAGGCUCAACUUGAAGACUGCACGAGAAACUGCAGGGCUUGAGUGUGGGAGAGGUGAGUGGAAUUCCUGGUGUAGCGGUGAAAUGCGUAGAUAUCAGGAGGAACACCUGUGGCGAAAGCGGCUCACUGGACCACAACUGACGCUGAUGCACGAAAGCUAGGGGAGCAAACAGG